CAAGUUACACUUUCUUCCAACAUCGGUUCCAGUCGCCAUAUUGUGUUGCUUGACUACUGAAAAAUAGUGCUGUUGAUAAGAUUAUCUGAAGUGAUUGUGGAUUUAUGUGGAGGAAGGGAAAGGCUGAUACUUGGAAGUUUUGGCGUUAGAAGGAAUUUUUGCCGAUUCCUAAUGAAUGAGGAUGAACUUGUCACAGACAAUGGAGGUAGAGAGAAGACGAUGCUGGAGUCUAGAAGAAGCAUGAUUACUAUACUCUGCUGCGAAUGGAGUGUUCUACUGCAGCUCGUACAGUAAUGGAACUAAAAGGCACAAAUUUCAGUUACUGUAAUGUGGUACCGGAAAAGUCUAGUAACCUCAGGUGAUAAAAAACAGACCCUCUGUAUUACGCCUGCAGCUUGUACAUUAAUGUAACUAAAGGAUUUGAAAUAUUUUGGGACAGCACAUUCCAGUAAUUCUGUCUUGAAUAACAAGUCACACCAAUUUCAGCAACAAAAUUUAGUUUUAUUUUUAAACUUCUUGAAAUGAACUAUUUUUUAAUUAAUAUUAUAUGGUUUAGCAACCGUUUUCUCUCCGGUGAUUUUUUUCCUCGGGUCGCUUGGGAAUAUCGUGGCCUGAGGUGUAACUUAAAAAUUUUUGGGUCCUAGGAUUAAACCAUCUAGUUAUGUUUGGAGCACAUACGUUCAGGUAAGCUCUACGUUGAAAUUAGAUUUUUUCUCUAGUUUGGCAAUCUCCUCCU